GGACGAACGCUGGCGGCGUGCCUAACCACAUGGCAAGUCGAGCGGAGGGGAUAGGAGCUUGCUUCUUGAACCUCAGCGGGCGGACGGGUGAGUAACACGUGGGUAACCUGCCCUUGAGAGGGGGAUAAACAGGUCGAAAAGGCCUGCUAAUACCGCAUAACGCUAAGAAGCUGCAUGGCGUCUUAGCCAAAAGGUUAAUUCCGCUCAAGGAUGGGCCCGCGGCCCCAUUAGCUAUUUGGUGAGGUAAUGGCUCACCAAGGCGACGAUGGGUAGCCGGCCUGAGAGGGUGGUCGGCCACACUGGGACUGAGACACGGCCCCAGACUCCUACGGGAGGCAGCAGUGGGGAAUAUUGCGCAAAUGGGGGAAACCCUGACGCAGCGACGCCGCGUGAGCGAUGAAGGCCUUCGGGUUGUAAAGCUCUGUCUUCCCUGACGAUAAUGACGGUAAGGGAGGAGGAAGCCACGGCUAACUACGUGCCAGCAGCCGCGGUAAUACGUAGGUGGCGAGCGUUGUCCGGAAUUACUGGGCGUAAAGGGUGCGUAGGCGGCUCUUUAAGUGGGGAUGUGAAAUCCCCUGGGCUCAACCCAGGAACUGCAUUCCAAACUGGGAGAGCUAGAGUGCAGGAGAGGAAAGCGGAAUUCCCAGGUGUAGCGGUGAAAUGCGUAGAGAUUGGGAGGAACACCAGUGGGCGAAGGCGGCUUUCUGGACUGUAACUGACGCUGAGGCACGAAAGCGUGGGGGAGCAAACAGGAUUAGAUACCCUGGUAGUCCACGCUGUAAACGAUGGGUACUAGGUG
rnacentral:rRNA from 1 species